rnacentral:rRNA from 1 species
AGCGAACGCUGGCGGCAGGCCUAACACAUGCACGUCGAACGAAGUCUUCGGACUUAGUGGCGGGCGGGUGAGUAACACGUGGGAACGUACCUUUUGGUUCGGAACAACUCAGGGUAACUUGAUCUAAUACCGGAUGAGCACUUAGGGGGAAAGAUUUAUCGCCGAAAGAGCGGCCCGCGUUAGAGUAGCUAGUUGGUGAGGUAAAGGCUCACCAACGGUACGAUCUAUAGCUGGUCUGAGAGGAUGAUCAGCCACACUGGGACUGAGACACGGCCCAGGCUCCUACGGGAGGCAGCAGUGGGGAAUCUUGCGCAAUGGGCGAAAGCCUGACGCAGCCAUGCCGCGUGAAUGAUGAAGGUCUUAGGAUUGUAAAAUUCUUUUACCAGGGACGAUAAUGACGGUACCUGGAGAAAAAGCCCCGGCUAACUUCGUGCCAGCCGCCGCGGUAAUAC